rnacentral:rRNA from 1 species
AGGCUUUCGGGUUGUAAAGCACUUUCAGUGAGGAGGAAAACCUUACGGUUAAUAACCGUGAGGCUUGACGUUACUCACAGAAGAAGCACCGGCUAACUCCGUGCCAGCAGCCGCGGUAAUACGGAGGGGGCAAGCGUUAAUCGGAAUUACUGGGCGUAAAGCGCGCGUAGGUGGUUCGAUAAGCGGGAUGUGAAAGCCCCGGGCUUAACCUGGGAACGGCAUUCCAAACUGUCGGGCUAGAGUAUGGGAGAGGGUAGUGGAAUUUCCUGUGUAGCGGUGAAAUGCGUAGAUAU